AUCUAGACAUUUCUUCAUAUUUUCUCAGCCAAAACGCCAUAGAAGGUCUGGAGAAAGCUGGUUUUUCAUAUUUUUACAUCAUAUCAAGAAUCCAAAGAAGAACGAGGAAAAGAAAAAGUUGCGGAAUAGUCCCUAAAUUUCAAUAUCUUCUACAAAUUAGCCGGAUUGACUUGAAGUGAAGUGGGUAGAUCGGAUCAACACAACAAAGCACACUAUCCAGAUCAAUUCCG